AUUGAACGCUGGCGGCAUGCCUUACACAUGCAAGUCGAACGGCAGCACGGGUGCUUGCCUCUGGUGGCGAGUGGCGAACGGGUGAGUAAUACAUCGGAACAUGUCCCGUAGUGGGGGAUAGCCCGGCCAAAGCCGGAUUAAUACCGCAUACGAACUACGGAUGAAAGCGGGGGACCUUCGGGCCUCGCGCUUUAGGGUUGGUCGAUGGCUGAUUAGCUAGUUGGUGGGGUAAAGGCCUACCAAGGCGACGAUCAGUAGCUGGUCUGAGAGGACGACCAGCCACACUGGGACUGAGACACGGCCCAGACUCCUACGGGAGGCAGCAGUGGGGAAUUUUGGGCAAUGGGCGAAAGCCUGAUCGAGCAAUGCCGCGUGAGUGAAGAAGGCCUUCGGGUUGUAAAGCACUUUUGUCCGGAAAGAAAUCCUUGGCCAUAAUACAGUCGGGGGAUGACGGUACCGGAAGAAUAAGCACCGGCUAACUACGUG
rnacentral:rRNA from 1 species